GACGAACGCUGGCGGCGUGCCUAAUACAUGCAAGUCGAACGCAGUGGGGACGGGUGAGUAACACGUGGGUAACCUCCCAUCAGAGGGGAUAACACUUGGAAACAGGUGCUAAACCGAUACUGAUGGAUGGACCCGCGGUGCAUUCGCUAGUUGGUGAGGUAACGGCUCACCAAGGCCACGAUGCAUCGACAACCGAGGAGGGGGAUCGGCCACACUGGGACUGAGACACGGCCCAGACUCCUACGGGAGGCAGCAGUAGGAAAGCUUCGGCAAUGGACGAAAGUCUGACCGAGCAACGCGGCGGGAGUGAAGAAGGUUUUCGGAGCGUAAAACUCUGUUGUUAGAGAAGCGGUAUCUAACCAGAAAGCCACGGCUAACUACGUGCCAGCAGCCGCGGUAAUUC
rnacentral:rRNA from 1 species